GUAAACAUAUGUAAUGUAAACAUACUUUCUCAAGGGUUUACAUUGGAUUGUGUCCACUGCACAGAUUGUAAAAUCCUAUUCAGUUGGAAAAAAACUAAAACAAAAAUGAGUAGGUUUUAUUGUUGGUUGUCAUUUAUUUACAAUAAUAAUGUAAAGAUGACGUUAAUGUUGCUCAAUCAGAUUGACAUGCUAGAUGCAGCUGAUUGCUCGAAGGGCGGGGCUUACUUGUGCCUUUCCCAUGAACUGGUGACUUCGUACAAAUUGUUUGUUGUCGAUCAAGAUGGAGUUCCUUUUGGGAAAUCCAUACAGCACCCCUGUGGGACAUUGCAUUGAGAGAGCCACUGAUGGCUCCCUUCAGAGUGAGGACUGGACCCUCAAUAUGGAAAUAUGUGACAUCAUAAAUGAAACUGAGGAUGGGCCCAAGGAUGCUAUCAGGGCCAUGAAGAAGAGGCUGAACGGAAACAAGAACUACAGGGAGGUGAUGCUGGCACUGACCGUCCUGGAGACAUGUGUGAAGAACUGUGGGCAUCGUUUUCAUGCCCUCAUCACCAGCAGGGACUUCAUAGACGGUGUGCUUGUGAAAAUCAUCUCUCCCAAAAACAACCCUCCCACUAUUGUGCAAGACAAAGUGCUCACCCUGAUCCAGGCGUGGGCUGAUGCGUUCAGGAGUAGUCCAGACCUGACGGGUGUGGUCCAGAUCUAUGAGGAGCUGAAGAGGAAGGGUAUAGAUUUCCCAAUGUCGGACCUGGAUGCCCUGUCUCCCAUCCACACUCCUCAGCAGCUGUUGACUGGCCCAGAGGAGAACCAAGCCACCGCCCCUCCCCUGGCCCAGCCUAUCCCCCAACCCCAACAGCAGCCUCCUCCCCAUGCUGUCUCCGCCCCAUCGUUUGCAUCGUCUGUUCCUCCCACCUACUCCGCCCCGCAGGUCCCCAACCUUGGCGCCUCUGGGUCUAUCAACCCUUCACCUGAACAGAUCUGCCGGCUGCGAAGGGAGCUGGACAUUGUGCGUGGCAACACAAAGGUGAUGUCAGAGAUGCUGACAGAGAUGGUUCCUGGACAGGAGGACCCCUCGGACCACAAGCUCCUGCAGGAGCUGAACCGGACAUGCCGGGCCAUGCAGCAGAGGAUAGUGGAGCUCAUCUCCUGUGUGUCUGACGAGGAGGUCACAGAGGAACUACUGCACGUCAACGACGACCUCAACAACAUCUUCCUACGCUACGACAGGUACGAGAGGUAUCGGUCAGGCAGAGCAUCUCAGGGUAUCAAUAAUGGGGUCCUCAGUGAGGCUACAGAGGACAACCUUAUAGACUUGGGCCCUGGUUCUCCUGCUGUCGUCAGCAACAUGGUCACUUCCACCGCCACGCCUCAGUACUUCACCGCCCCCACCGCACGUCCUUCCUCACCUGCCUCCCUCGCCUCUCGGCUGGCCGGCCUCGACGUGGAUGCCAGUGUGACCAGCACUCUGAGCUCUCUGCCCAGCUGUAAGCCUCAGGACGACUUUGACAUGUUCGCUCAGACCAGGACCGGAGCUCUGCCACUGACCACCGAGACACUCGUCACAGCUCCUCUAGAGGACCUUAAUGCUGUAGGUGGGAUUGAGCUGCCUCCUACUCUGGAAGUCAGGCAGCAGCCUGCAGGAGGGAUUCCCGUUGGCCAAUCCUCUGUCAUGGAUGACAUAGAGGAGUGGCUGUGUACUGACGUGCAAGGAGAGGAGGGCGAAGAGGGUGUGACCAGUGAAGAGUUUGACAAGUUUCUGGAGGAGCGGGCAAAGGCAGCAGAGAUGGUUCCCAGCCUCCCCUCACCCCCUAGUGGUGAUCCCGGUGCAACUACCGGUGCACCCAAGAAGAAGGCUGAAAGACCAGAGGACGCCCUGUUCACUUAGUACAGUGGUUUUCAAACCUCUCCUCGGGGACCCCCAGACAUUUCACAAUGUUGUAGCCCUGAACUAGCCCACUGAUUCACCUAGUCAAGGGCUUGAUGAUUUGUUGACAAGUUGAAUCAGGUGUGCUAGCCAUGGAAUAGUUCAAACGCAUGGAACGGCUGGGGGUCCCUGAGGAGAGGUUUGAAACCCCUCGCUUAGUAGAUCUCUCUUAACCUUUUGACUUCUGACCUGACCAGCGCCUGGAGUCCCCAGACUGUUGUCUGUUACAAAUCCACUUUCUCAUCCUCCCACUCUGGAGCUGUCUACCAUCAGCUAAACGUCUGCUACCCAGUAACACAUUCAUGUUCUCAGGCAAUUUACUACACUGCGAAGGGAACCCCCACGCAUUGUAAUUAUUUAUUUUUGUUGUUGAAAGAAACCAGCUUCAUWAGGAACAAGGUUGCAAUGUAUUCCCAUAAUCAACCGUCCCUAUCUAACAGUUGAUGGUUUGGGACUGUCUCCAGCUUCAGAAGGACUGUGGAGUAUCAACAGCCAUCUUUAUAAACCAGCAGCUCACUCUGUCCCGGGGCUGGUCUUCCUCUGAAGGGUACAAUGCUACUGGGAAGCCAAAGACCAGAUGUUGUCGUGGAGCCCAAGCAUGAAUGCAUCACAUUCAUAGUGAAUAGAGUAGCUGAUAAUGCUGUAAGAGUCAGUCAGAAGUGAUAAUGUAUUAGUCAGUCUUAUGAGAACAAUAACUUUAGGUUUUAAAGUCUGUAAUGUGGUUUUCACUACAGAUAUGGAGGCAGACUGAAUAUUGUAUGUCUGGUGUUGAAUAAUAACUGAAUUAAUGGACUGAAGUUUUGUUUAGUGGAUGUUAAAAAAAAAUAUAUAGAAGAGAUGGUUAUGAACACUAUGAAGGGGACAUUUGGUCUCUGAUUGGAGUCCAAGGUUAUAUUUUCACCUGAACUCUACCAUGUUCUUGUCUCUCGCUGGCUGUGCUGGCACAUCACUCAGAUGCUAGCUAGUUAGCUCAGUGGUCUCACCAGCUGAUCAGAAACAGUGUGACUGUGCUGAAAAGAGGGAUGGCCUGAGUGGGAGCCAGGCUCUCACCAUUUAGCGAAUGUGACAUUGAUGUUUUCAGAAACAACACUGCUAUACUGGUAUGAGCAAGAACAUGGAGUACUGAAAUCAUCUUUAUUCUCUUUCUUGAUAGUACACGUGCUGUUUCAUACAAACACUUGACAGUCCUUCAUUACCUUAUUCUGCUGUUAUGUUAUUAUUAAAAGAUCUAGUUGAGUGAGUUGGUACGUUUAACAUAUCUGUAAUCAACGGAGAAUGUUGAAAUAUAUUGACAAGUGUAGGAAUUAUUUAUUUAGUAUUUUCUUCUGUUCUAUCAGUAUUUGAAAUAGUUUUAUUUUACAAGGCAGAAUGAAAUCAUGAACUGCUUUAUGAGACUGAUCAAGGUUUUUCAUGUGUGUUAAACAUGUUUUGUUGAUCGUUUAUGGACUUUUCCUACAAUUUUCCUACACAAUGAUUUAUGCUGUUUCAAUGUUAGAAAUUGUAUAAAUGUAUUCUGAUUAUUUUUGCAACAACUUUAACGGUCACUAUUUAUGGCAAGUGUCCACUCGUUGGUUUGUAACUAAGAAAAUAACCCUAUUGAAUGUGUUUGUUUUUCCAUGGUUUGUUGAACAAGCAGUACAGUCAUGUUACUGUAUCUUCCCCUCUGUCUUUAUAUAUAUAUAUAUAU